rnacentral:lncRNA from 1 species
CAAAGUGGAGCAGUGAAGUCAGUCUUCCUUCUGAGUGUCCAUAAAAGACUUGUUAUGUUUUUUAAUAUUCCAUACAUGAAAAAAUAAUACUAGAAGAAUUCAAAACAGGGGAGUUGCCGUUGUGGCACAGCAGAAAUGAAUCCAACCAUAUCCAUGCAGAUGCAGGUUCAAUCCCUGGUCUCGCUCAGUGGGUCGGGGAUCUGGUGUUGCCGUGAGCUGUGGUGUAAACUACAGACUUGGCGCAGAUCCUGCAUUGCUAUGACUGUGGCGUAGGCCAGCAGCUGCAGCUCCAGUUCAACCCUUAGCCUGGGAACUUCCAUAUGCCAUGGGUGCGGCCCUAAAAAGCAAAAAAAAAAAAAAAGCAGAAUUCAAAACAGGAUGUCAUUGGAAUGGUAUGGAGAAUAAGUUCAGUAAGUGCUAAAGGAGCUCACUAAACAGUUCUAAAGGUCUGUAUUAAAUAAACCAUCAAAUGUGAAUAAUUGUGAUAUGCCAGAGCAUUUGCAUUCUUAACUCACAGGGUUGUUGGGAAGAUCAAAUGAAAUAAUCAUUAUAAAGCACUCUGCACAGUGCCUGGCACAGAGCAAGCAGUCAAUAAAUGUUAAUAUUUAUAUGGUUAUUAUUGUUGAUUGUCAGAAUUCAUCAGGCCCACAUCAUCAAAUAGGAGUAACCGGUCUGUCAGCAGGAACAUGGUAACACUCUAAUUAUGUAGAACUCAGUGUUGGAGGGACAAUCAUUACAACAGGAUCUAAUUUUAGUCUUCUGGGAGGCAGAAAAGACUACGUUCUCCAGAAAUGUGGACUCCUUCCAUGGGCAUGGAGUUUAAUUUUCCAAGGUCAAAUUGCAUAAUUUGUAAAAUUAAAAGGCAAUUGUACUGCAUUUCAGGAAAGGCCCAGGAAAAUCUGAAGCACUAUACAAUAUCAAUGAAAAAAAAGUUAUUUUUCCACAGGGCAUAAUUAGAAAUAAAGAGUCAAGGUCAGUCACAAAGUUCUGAGCUAUAAGGGAAGAAAGGAACGAAUUUUCCCCCCAGUUAUUUUAUGGCUACCAGGUUAAACUCAUACUUAUCCAAUGAGCCCCAAAAUGGAAUACUGUUCUGCACCAACUAUACUGAUGAUAGUGAUUCAGAGAGUAAAUGAUAAGAUUCCAUCCUUCUAAAGUGCUUUUGGAAUUGGAUUCUAGUAAGUUUCAUUUUGCUAUCGGCCAAUCACAAAAGAGACUACAAUAGAGAAAAGUGAAGACAUCAUGCUGAAGAGAGGGCGUCACAUAGAAAAGGAAAAAGACCCCCUAAUUUAGAGAUAUAGAUGGAGAAAAAAAGGCAGUUAUGCUGUAACAGAAGGGAAACAUUAAAUAAAGCAAUAAGAAAGGAGAAAAAAAUGGCUUAGAGUAGAAUAUAAAGAAUCAAGGAGAGAUAGGAAUAGACUGUAGCACAUACACAAAAAAAUACAAAAGGACGCAUAAGGGGAAAUGCAUUGAUUAUUACACAGAUUAAAUGCAAACAUGAAAAAUGAAGAUGAAAAGCUUCUAAGAGAAAUGAGUGGGCAGUAAACUGAAUUUCAUCAUCUUUACCAAGACCGAAGUUUUUCAUCCUUUCACCUCUACCAACUCCAAGCUUCCCUUUCUAUUUAUUUUUUCCUUUUUUUAUGAGGUGGCAGGGAAGCCUUAGGAAUAAUAACAUGGCCUUUUGACAAGUGGUGGUCUCCUAAUCACUUUCCAGUAAGUUCUACAGUGUUUCAAAGACACAUUCCAGGGUCUCAGAGACACCAUUUUUCUUCCUCAGGUCGUUCUGCUCCUGUGCCUGCAGUUUGUGUUAUUGCCGGUGCAUAGCCUGAGAAAUCCAAGGCCUAUGCCAACUCCCUAAGUAAUAUGAUUAGCAUCUAAAGCAACACAAGGAGCCCAUGACUUGGCCCUUUUGCAAUUAAAACCAUAUACAGAAAGUGUUUUGGUCAAAGGCAUUUGGCGGAAAAAAAGAGUCACUUCCAGGAAUUAGAGUACCUGCCAGUAACUAGUGACUGUAAAAGAGGUUAAAACAUAAACUCCUGUGUAACUGCUCAAUAAUAGCAAUUCCCUGUGCAACUGUGCAGCACUUUUGUUACAUUUCUUUCCUGGACUCUCCCAAUCUGAGAGAAAAGGGACAUAUGUUCCUCUUUAAUUGACUCAGACCCAGACAAGUGAUGUGGGUGGCCGCAUUCAUCCACGUGUUGCUGCUGUCUCCAGCACAGCAGAAGAGAUGACCAAGACACCAAACUGUCCAGCCAAGAGGAGGAAUGUUUUGGUGUUGUGGAAGACUCUUGGUGAAUUUGAUGUUAGAAAAUGUAAGGUACCUCCAAUAGUAUAGAAGUUCCUCAGAGAUUUAAAAAUAGAACUAUCAUAAAAUCCAGCAAUUUCACUUCUGGUAUAUUUAUCUGAUGAAAACUUUAAAAAGAUAUAUGCACCCCAAUGCUUUUUGUAGCCUUAUUCAUAAUAGCCAAGAUAUGGAAGCAAUCUAAGUGUCCCUCUUUAGAUGAAUGGAUAAAGAAGAUGUGGUGUAUAUACACACAAUGGAAUAUUACUCAGCCA